AAACCAUCGCUUAUCAAGCUAUACCUUUUGGUCUCCUCAAAAGGCGUAUUUUUCAAAAAGUUUAUUUCCAUGUGAAAAGUCACUGUUAAUAAGACAGUAGAUGAAAUUAGCACUCUGUGGAUGGAGAAGACUGAGCUAUCGUUUGAAAAUUUGGCAACCAGCAUCUUAUGAUCUUGUCUAACUUGUCUAGCUGCUUUUCGGAGUUACAGCUUGUACAAAAUGUACCUUUAAAUAAGUGUUUUACUCCACUUUCAAAUGUUGUCUGCAACUAAGAAAUCGUUGUUCACUCUUAAAGCAUUAAAAAACUCAACCAUGUAAAAAUCAAGUCAGUUCAGCUUUCACUUUAUUUUUCUUUUGGCGUAAUUUGGCGUAAUUUAACACAAUAAAGAUGACGAAUUUCGGUUGAAAUUUUAGCCAGAAAGCAAGUUGUCGAAAAUACUCAAGUUAAAGUCGGUUUCUUUGACGAGGCCGCCAAAGUAUUCUACAAGAUUAUAUUUAUAUUAAAUAAAAAAAUGUCAUUAAACGAAACAAAUUAAUUACAAGGACGAAACCAGUUGCCCUACACUGAAAUUACCAGUUAGGGGAAAAAAAAAUUAAAAAAUAGAUGAUUCCAUAAGGUAGGUUUUAUAGUUGGUAUUUCUUUCAAUUAUCGAGCUUUCCACGGGUAUAAGAUUUGCAAAAAUGAUUAUGGCGAGGCGGGGACAAGUUGUAAAACAAAAAAGGUAAAAGUUUAUAAAUUAAAUCCGCAGUAAAGGUAAUUUUAUAAAAUUAAUUAGCACUUUCUAUGUCAAAGAAGAGUAGAGAAGCCGCAUGUAUAAGAUUUCUUAAUUAAUGAAAGGCCGACGGCGAGUUGUAAAAGAAGUUGUCGGUAAUGUAAUAUUGACUCUUCCGACUUACACAUAUAAUUAAUAUAAAGAGCUCGAGAAAACAAGCAAGCUAAGGCAGUCAACUGGAGUAACUGCUGAGUUGUCCAUACACCAGUCGUUUUCAAGUUGUUUAAAAAUGAAGAUCCAAUCUGUUGUAUUUCUUACUGCUGUUCUAAUGCUCACAACGUUGGUGGCUGAGAGUGAAUGCAUUGGUCCAGGAACACCACGAAAACGGGAACACCAAGAAAAGGUUGAGAGAGAAUUAAAGAACUUCCCGGAAGUGAAAAGAAGCAAAGGAAUGGAGAGGAGAGAAUUCGACAAUUACAACGAAGAAAAGGACAAAUAACCAUGUAAACUAAAGGGCUGCUUUUAAGAUAAUCACCACACAGAAAGUGUAACUUAAUGGAUUAUCGUGUGAAAGAAAUAAAAAUCAAGGAAUGUAAAAGUAAUUAUUUUUGUUUGGUUUUGUGUCAGUUGGACAACAUCUAUGACGCAGAAACAUACAUAUCUGCAGUUUACCGUUUUGUUUGGUUCGUAGAAAUUGAGAAUGCAAGGAGAAGGGAGAGAGCGUAAAGGAGAAAAGCAAUUCAUAUGAUACGGUGAAUGUGAAAUUCUGAGAGAGCGGCAAGGUCAGAGUGCACUUCGGAUUUUCUCUCAUGAUCGACAAUUAUUCUGCAGAGGUUAUUUGACCAAAAACAGUUAAAUGACUUUCUUCGUUAUCUUAUCCCCUUGAAAAUAUCUUCAUAAAAAUAGAGACAGUUUCCUAGUUGGACAGUACAUGAAAAGAGGAAAAGCGUAACAACAUAAAAAGCAGUAAAUAUAAGCCUGUGAUAAAGUUUUACUCGAAUACCCCAUAAAUCUACGGAGAAAAUUCGAAAACAUCGACUGACUUUUUUGCUUUGCUUUAUAGUUCUCCACUUGGAUAUUAACUGAAAGCAAAAAAUUGUUGUCCACCUUUUUUUGGUAUAAGGUGGGGCUGUAAAAGGCGCCGGUUUUAUCAGUAUUGUUUUGGAGUUCCCCUGAAGAAUUUUCAAAUAUCACCUAAAUCACUCCCGUAUUGAGUCCAGUGUUUGAAAUACCUAAAUGUCAGGGUAUCCGUGAAACAACACCGAUAAAACGGUUUUUCAAAUCAAUUUUUCAAUCUUUUUUUUUUUUACAUAUAUAGAAAACAAUGGAAUUCAUGCAAAAGGGUCAAUUUUAUUCCUAUAGUUAUGUGACGAAACUCAUCGAUGAGAAUCAUUGUACAGGUACUUAGAACUGAGAUCAAGGAUGUUUCAAUCCUGUAUGGAUCGAGAACUUUUUUUUUACCGCUGAAUUAAAUUACAUCUCCCCAGGAAAUCAUCUGUCAAGUUUCCACUUCGAUUCUUGCAUCGCUCGUAAAAGUAAUCAAUGAGCGAAAGGAAAAAUAAACAAGUUUCUCGGGCGGCCAGAUUGUUGCCUUACAUUUUGUUAGCUUAGGCAGUGCUAAGGCACUUGUUAAAAAUGUUCGAUUGUACAAAUUCUAACCAUCCAUUUUAUUAGCACGAUAAUCAUGCAAUUUGAGUGGAUUUGUGAUACGAAACUGUAUUUUGCACUAGCAUUAAUUUUGCUGAGUUUAGAACACAAAAUUAUUCCAUAUUUAAAGGAAGUUAGAUCGGGACAUGAUAUUACUCUUAAGCAAGGACAAGUUUUCCUACAAAACAUAAUUAAAUUAAAUUAUUGAAUUAAAUGACCGAUGAAGACGUUUCCAUGAUUUAUGAUACCUUCGCAUGUGCCGAUUUUAACAAACUAGACCUUUAAUUAAGGAAGCGGCAUGUUUCCAAACGGUAAUUGAUAAGCACUUUCCUUGGGAAAAAAAAAAAGAGCAGAUUUUGCAUGCACAAGAUCACUUUCCUAAUGAUGAGGCUUCUUUAUUUUGAAGCCCUGGCCAAACGAACUCGCAAGUAGUUGCAAGUCGGCGUAAGUUGGACUCGAGUAUAGACUUGUCUCUGUCAGAAGGUUGCACGACGAGUGUGUUUUAGGGCGCAUGUCAGAAUUUACCCAGUAUAGCCUGUCGUUUAAAGAGUGAUCAUUUGAAUUCGAGGUAGAAUAAUGUUCGUUUUUGAUGCCCAAAAAUACAAUUAAAACCAUGUAAUCUAGAUAGGGCUGAUCUUCUUUUGUACCCAUAUUGGUAAUUUCAUAGCGGAAGUUUGAUGCUUAAUUUUCCAUGAAAAGAAAAUAAAGCGAAAUAUCUCUACCCAUACAAACUUAAGAGAAGUCGAUCGAAAUACUGAUUGUCUACUUUUGCCGUUUUCAAGCAUUGAAGGAAUGAAGGCCCAAACUGUGUUAGUUCUUGCCGCUCUUUUUCUGCUCGCAAAUCUCGUUACUAAUAGUCACGCGUUUAGCCCGCCUCUACCAGGAAAGAAAAGAGAGUUGGAAAGAAAGCUGCAGAUUGAGAGAGGCGCAAUGAAUCUUCGUGAUCUUAAAAGAACCGUUGCAUGCGGGGGACUGGAGAGGAAAGCAUCCGACGAUUACAAUGAAGAAAAAGGAAAAUAAACAAGUAUAAUUAAAGGACUGAUUAAAACAAUGUUAUAUGACGAUUAUCACCCCGGAUGACGAAAAUACUGUAACCUAAUGGAUUAUCAUAGCAAACAAAUAAAAUGUAAAGAUUAA